AGCAGAGAUGGUUUAUAUAAACGUCUCUUUUUUCUAUUGAAGUAAAACGAACGGCGUUAAGUAGAGGCAGUUCUAAUUUUCGUAGGUAUAUAAAGAUGGUUUAGACCGUCUCUACAUAUACUAAGGGUAAAAAAGGAAACAUAAAUGAAGUGAAUAGGUUUUAGAAAUAUGAUUUACUCAAAAUCUUUUGUUCUCUCUGCUUCAACCAUAAAUUUUAAAUGUUUUAGAAAUACGAUCUUUUGAAUUUUCUCUCAUCUUCUUCCAUUAAUGGAGCAUCUUGGGAUCUAGUUCGAUGGUGAAGAUCAAACGAAUAUCCAAGGAAUGUUUUUUUAAUGGAUUUUUAGGUCAAAAUUGGAUCUGAAGCUAUAAUUUUUAGAUUGCCACAUGAUUUUUUCAUCAAUUGAGGUGAAGGAUUUUUCUCAGCUGCUAUUUGUUGCCGAUUUGUUCCCCCUUUCGCUAUUCGUUGCCGAUUCAUUCUCCCUUUCUCUAUUCGUUGUCGAUUUGUUCUCUAUAUCUUCUUCUAAAGAAAUCAUAUGAAACUAAACAGUAUAAGAAGGGGUUGAUCGCAAACUUGCAUAUGAACAAUCAAGGGAGCACUGGCUUUAGAAGAAGGACUCUCCAAAGGCCUUCCAAUUCAGACUCCAGGAGGUAUAUUGCAAUGGUGGAAAUGUGCCAAGUUGCUGGCAAUAGAUAUCAGGACUUGCUAUGUUGUCAAAGAUGAGAUCAACUUGAAGACUCACAGAAGACCGGAGAUCAAAAGCUGAUAGAUUUAAAGUAGAAAUAAAUUAGCUUAAAUAUAUAGUUGUAGCCUUAUAGGUGUUUUUGGAUUUAGUUAGUAUUUUUUGAUGAAUCUGGAUUUAGUUAGUGUAACUGAAUAUAUUAAUUUAAGUAUAUAAAGUAGAUAUUGUAAUUUCAAAAUAUAUAUAUUUUUCACUAUUAACAUUUUGA